GGUGAACGCUGGCGGCGUGCUUAAGACAUGCAAGUCGAACGCAGUCUUCGGACUGAGUGGCGCACGGGUGAGUAACACGUAACUGACCUACCCCCAAGUCGCGAAUAACCAGCCGAAAGGAUGGCUAAUACGUGAUGUGAUGAUCCGCUGUGGCGGAUCAUUAAAGACUUGAUCGCUUGGGGAUGGGGUUGCGUUCCAUCAGCUAGUUGGUAAGGUAAAGGCUUACCAAGGCAACGACGGAUAGCCGGCCUGAGAGGGUGGCCGGCCACGGGGGGACUGAGACACGGGUCCCACUCCUACUGGAGGCAGCAGUUAGGAGUCGUCCACAAUGGGCGCAAGCCUGAUGGAGCGACGCCGCGGGAGGGAGGAAGGUUCUCGGAUCGUAAAGCUCUGAACCAACGACGAAAGCCCCGACAAGGGAGAUGACGGUAGUUGGGUAAUAGCACCGGCUAACUCCGUGCCAGCCGCCGCAGUAAGAC
rnacentral:rRNA from 1 species